GGUAGGCCCAGCCCAUAAUAAAAGAAGCUGCUUUGCCCUUCCUUGUUCUCUUGCUCUUACUCUCUUACUCUCUUGCCUCUCUCUCUUGCCUUCUUGCUCCCCCUCUUCACAUUCUCUUCCCCACUCUCGACACAUGGCCAUACAGGCCUUUAUUUUUCUACGCUCUCCCUCUCUCUGCCUUUCAACAAUAAACACUUUAAAACCAUGAAUUUCCUCUUCUCAUCUGGACCCUCCAUGCUGGAGUAGUGGAGCAGGUUCACCUCUAAAGAGCCUCACAUCUAAUCUUCAGCGGGAGGCCACUCUGUGUUCCCAUACAGGACUUUUGCCAAACCAAGCCUCCCACUGAGCAAGUCAAUGACUCUCCUCCCUGCAGUAACCUCUCCUCCUGCCCUGGGCUAGAUUCUGCCCGUGGGUCCCUGCUCCAUUCUCAGCUCUUCAGCAACAUCCAGUGGUAUCUGCAGUAUCUAAGACUGAGAUCCUGAUGACCCUGGGCUCUGUGCAGCCCAGGGACCCCAGAACUGGCUCUUCCACAGCAUCCAGCAGGUGCCUGAGAGUCUAAGACUAACUCCAGCAGUAUUUAUUCUACAAGGUCUCCUUGUUCCCUUGUGUAUAUGAAGAUGCCCAUUCUCAAUUGCUUUAGACAUCAAUUUUCUCCUUGGAGUGCUGGUGUGAUAGCAAAGCCUCUCAAUAAAAUGCAUUAAAAGUACCUCCAAGUAGCAACAAUAGAAGAGGAGGCUUCCUCUUGCUCCAAAGCACUUUCCUACUGCGUUUUCAAGCUCACAUUCAAAGAGCAAGAGCGAGACUCACUGACAUUUGCUCUGCAUCCUGGUUGCAUGGCCUAUGUAUCAAUUGAGGUUGCACAUCCUGUGCUCUGG
rnacentral:lncRNA from 1 species